UACGAGGGGGCAAAGUCUUGCCGGAUUUAUUGGGCGUAAAGAGCUCGUAGGUGGUUCGGUAAGUCGGAUGUGAAAUCUCCAGGCUCAACCUGGAGGGGUCAUUCGAUACUGCCGUGACUAGAGUUCGGUAGGGGAGUGUGGAAUUCCUGGUGGAGCGGUGAAAUGCGCAGAUAUCAGGAGGAACACCCGUAGCGAAGGCGGCACUCUGGGCCGAUACUGACACUGAGGAGCGGAAAAGCCGUGGGGGAGCGAAACAGG
rnacentral:rRNA from 1 species